AGGGCCCGCGGCCCCACCCGGGACCAGCGCUGCUGCGCCGGUCGGCGCUAGAGUCCCCGAUGCAGUUGGGGCAGAGGCUGCCCCGGCCCCCGCCGAUCCCGGAGUUCCGACAAGACAACGCCCGCAGCGGCACCAGCUCGUCCCGCCACUGCCCCCGGGGCCGCCGAAACAACCGGAGCCGGAACCGCAGAUCCAGCCAGCCCCGCCGAGCUGGCAGGACCCGCGCCAGGGGCUACCCUCGCUCCUAAUGGACCUACGCCCACCGCACCUGACUUGCGGAAACAAACCCCAAAACUCGCCAAGAGUAUUGAAGCAGGCAUACAAGCGAGCGGGAAAGAACGACACACAUCUACAAGAUGCAAGUUCGAAUCCACUUUAUUAUUGUUAGACUGUACAAUUUAUAUUCUUCUGAGUUCUGUUCACGCGAACACGAGCACAGCACGCCAUCACGAUUGGUCAGCACGCACUGUCCACGCGCCUCAGAACUCAGUCAUGGCUAGGCUUCGCGAACGAAGAUUUGAAAGGACUCUACCCACUCUUGCUACAAGCGCGCUGAUGGCUAAAAAGGCCAAUGCGAGAUAGACAAGUCCGGUUGCAGAAGGCACAGCAGAAAGACUCCCCAGGUGAUAUCGACGAGACGCGAUUCUUUCUGCGUUGUCUUUUCUCCUCGAGAGUGAUCCUGCGUGUGUUCUCAAAAGCAGCAGCAGCGUUAUAGAACUCAGUAUAGUCAUGUAGAAUUGCUAAGGCCCCAACACAUAAUGCAACUCAGUCCACCUUUCCUCCUUAUGAAGGAUUGUAUUAAGUUGUAGCAUGGUAUUGAUUUCAAAAGAGCUAAAUUUCAGCCACACUACUCCUCUUAGUUGCCCGUUGCAAGACCAAAUACUUAUAGAGAGUCUACUUAACUCCCACUUUUUUAAAGAUGUUUCAGGGCCAGUUAAAUCGUCCCAAUGUUGUAAAACUAAAGCCAACGGAGUCCCCUCUGGAAUUUUUUCUUUAGAUUGUGCACAGCUUAUGUUAACAAACAACAGACAGGAAAAAAUUGACAGACCUGGGUCUAGAACUUACAACCUCACAUACACUGUGCAGACUUUCUACCCAAGCACCACCAGGUUCAGGCAGGAAUUUAGUAUUUCAACACAGGAAGGUGUCCCCCCCUUUCGUGGCCACGCCUGGCCAACACGAAACACAACUCUCCUGAGCUCCCCUCUGCCUGCCCUGACUGAGGCUUCCCAGACAGUCCCACUGCCCGCCCCGGUGAAAACCCAUUCACCAACAGACUGGGAAAACACCAACUCUUGCAACUUUUGGGCCCAAGUCCAAGUCUCCCUUCCCAGUCCCACCAUAUUCCCUAGUUCUGGGGAAAACUCCUUCCCAUAGCUGCUAAUUAAAACUCCCCAGAAGCUGUUUCUUAUCUUACCUCCGUGUGCGGCUUCAAGGAGCUGGGCUCCUUGAGAUUGGAGUGGGAAUUCUCCAAAAUAUACUGGCCAAGGAAGAAAUCCCUGCAAAAUCGAAUGUCCCGAUCCAGAGGAGUCACAGGUCCCGAUGUUCCCCAU